CAAACGACUCUCGGCAACGGAUAUCUCGGCUCACGCAUCGAUGAAGAACGUAGCAAAAUGCGAUACUUGGUGUGAAUUGCAGAAUCCCGUGAACCAUCGAGUUUUUGAACGCAAGUUGCGCCCAAAGCCAUCCGGUUGAGGGCACGUCUGCCUGGGCGUCACGC
rnacentral:rRNA from 1 species